AUUGAACGCUGGCGGCAGGCUUUACACAUGCAAGUCGAACGAGUGGCGGACGGGUGAGUAAUGUCUGGGAAACUGCCUGAUGGAGGGGGAUAACUACUGGAAACGGUAGCUAAUACCGCAUACCAUUGGAUGUGCCCAGAUGGGAUUAGCUAGUGGGGGGGGUAAAGGCAUACCAAGGCGACGAUCCGUAACUGGUUUGAGAGGAUGACCAGUCACACUGGAACUGAGACACGGUCCAGACUCCUACGGGAGGCAGCAGUGGGGAAUAUUGGACAAUGGGGGAAAGCCUGAUCCAGCCAUGCCGCGUGUGUGAAGAAGGUCUUCGGAUUGUAAAGCACUUUAGGUAGGGAGGCGUUACCAGCAGAAUAAGCACCGGCUAACUACGUGCCAGCAGCCGCGGUAAUUC
rnacentral:rRNA from 1 species